rnacentral:rRNA from 1 species
UACGUAGGGGGCAAGCGUUGUCCGGAUUUAUUGGGCGUAAAGAGCGUGUAGGCGGCCAUACAGGUCCGUUGUGAAAACUGGAGGCUUAACCUCCAGACGUCGAUGGAAACCGUAUGGCUAGAGUCCGGAAGAGGAGAGUGGAAUUCCUGGUGUAGCGGUGAAAUGCGCAGAUAUCAGGAAGAACAUCCGUGGCGAAGGCGGCUCUCUGGGACGGUACUGACGCUGAGACGCGAAAGCGUGGGGAGCGAACAGG